GAUCAAAGAGCCUGUGUUCAUCCCCAAGACUGGAAACACCCAGUGGAAAGGAUACAGGCACAAAGGACCGUCCUUGUCUGCACUCUCAGCAUAACCCUUACAUUGCUGUGUGGAGAAAGGACACAAAAACGCAUAGAGAAGUAAAAUUAUGGAUGCCACCUAUCAGUCUUCCCGUGGGGAAGAUUACUGGACUGGUCUGCUGGAUGAAAUUUUGCAGACAUUUAGCCCAUGGGAGCUGGUGUGUUGCAUGUGAGGUGUGUCCAGGUAGGAUUUGUACCAGGGAUCCAAUGCACACCCCGGUCGCGGCACUGUCACGGUCAUGGCAAUGUGUCUUUCUGGGCUGAUUAGGGAAAGCGUCAGGGACCUUGCAGCCUAACACUGUAAAGCAGCCAAGACUGACAGGCCAGGGCUUCUCCACUCACUCUGCUGGUGUUCCACUAAUUGCAGCUCUCCCUAAUUAAAAGUCAGUGAUGUGGCUUUGGUGGCUGCAAGCCAGGUCCCUGAGGCGAGCCCUGGGCAGAGGCUGGGUAGCGGGAAAGGAUGGGGUCAUCCCUGGAGCCCAGCACACUGCCUGCAGAGGCAUGGUCGAGUGCUGCAGAGGAACCAAGCAUCCAAGAGAGUCCUCAGAAAGAGGAAUGAAAUCAGUGCCAACCUUGCCAGAGACGCGGGGCAGUGAGCAGGUGCUCUGGCCAUGAGCUGUUGCGCUGUGCUGGAGUGAAAUGCUCUGUGUUAGCUGCAAAGUCACUUUCCAGGUGGCAAUGGUGAGUCGCCGUUAACCGCACAGCUCUGGGAGCUGGGGCUCUGCAGCAGAGGUAGAAAAUCCCACGACAGGCUUGUAUGAGCUGGUAACACUCUGCCUGUCCCAGGGGAAAAGAAGGGCCAGCUUGCUGCCAGGCACUUAAAAGAAGACAAAGUAAAAGCUGGAUGAUCUUUAGAAGAGCAGUUUCCUGUUGGCUUGUUGGUUGCUGAUCUAAUACUUCUUUCUCCUUCUUUAUUUCCCUGUGAGGACAAUUCGGUUUUAGUUCAGAUAUGUCUUCCCAUGGGAUAAUGUCUCCAAGCAAACUCAUCCUGAGCAAAGGCAGGAGGAGCAUCCAGAUGCCAGCACAAAUGAGCUGCGGACUUCCCCCUACCAUCUGAGUGCUGUUACCAGCCCGCAGCACUCCUCCUGCCGACACCGAGCGCCUGUUCUUGCCGUCGCCCCCACACCCGGCACCAUUAUGGUGCUGCCGUAUGGAGCGCUCAGCAGAUGACGUCUGGGGACCUUCUCCAUCCCUCCUGCAGCGGGGACCCUCGGCCAUCCAGGACCCUUGCUGGGGCUCUGGGAUCUGCCUUGCUCCAGGGCUUUCAAGCAGCCUCCGAGGCUUUUUGGGAUUGCUCCUGUACAGCCCUGUGUUUGGCCUGAUACAAGGUAAAAAAAGGGUUUGGGGAUGAAAUCCAGCUUCAGCCCUGCUGGCGUUGGGGAAGGCUCCUCCAGAGGGCAGCUCCAGCCAAAUAAAAACCAUCCCUGGGGGUUCUUGGUUAACCCCAGUGCUGAGGCACAGAGCAGGGUCUCAGGUUUUUAAUUACCUGGCCCAAACCUCCCAGCUGCCCCGCCUGAGAAAAGCCAUCACACGCAGCACAUCCUUCAUAGUAGAAUCAUUUUUAUUUAGCAAAUCUCCAGAGCAUUAAAAUAAAACUCCCAUAAAACAA